GCUCCGUGUCGGGGCACAGCACGGCCAGGCAAUGUGCCUGUCAGGCUGCAAGCCUCUUUCAUGCAUGGCCAGCUCCAAAGGGCUGUGCAGCAGGACUUGGCAACCGAAAAUGUCAUCUACAAUUAUGCAUAUUUUCAUCAUCUUCUAUCAUGCAAAUCCCCCCACCCCAAAUAUGCAGCAAAUGUUUUGUUUGCAUAUGUAGGUCAACCACAAAUCUUCUGUGGUCGAACAUAAACAUGGGCAGCACAGAGUGAUGUAUGUGGAUUUAAAUCCAGGCUGAAUCAUAAGCCCACCACGGACCUUUUCCAAGUGGAGUCUGUUUGCUAGAUUCGUUAUCUCUGACUUUUCAUUUUAUAGAGCAUUGCUUUCUCAUGGAUUUGUGAAAGAACGACUGACAGGAGAUACCAUCGUUGCAAAAGGAACUAUUAACUUAGACACAGAUGGAUGGUUCUUCAUGAGCUGGCAGUACAGUCCCUCAGUGUGAGCUGCUGGGAUCAGCAUGGUGGCACGAUGGAAAACUGUUCAGGUUGCUGCAUCUGUAAAAAUGCUUUGUUCCUGGAUUCCUCCUGGGACCUGGCACUUACCUGUGCACACACAGACACCAGAGGUUUGGAAUGAGAUCUUUAAGGUUCCUCCCAGCCCAAACCUUUCUGUGAUCUGGUGGUGGUGGUGAAACCAAGGAUGUGCCUUCAGUGAUGGACAUGGAAAGGACACCACCCAGCCAGCUCAUCCUGCCAACAUUACCAGCCUCCCUGAGCUCCUGCUGGAACAUGGAAACGCUCCCAAGUUUUUAAUUAAACACUGCCACAGCUAUAAAAAAAGAAUGUACAUCUUUUAAUAGCAACAUGAGAGCACCCAAGAGCGAGCUACCUGACCUCAGCCUUCCUGGUCCCUUCACGUUGCAAGACACCACUCUCUUUAAUUAAUUAAUUUGUUUAUUCGUUGCCUGCAAGGGUAAAUGAUGGAAGACUGGUGAGGCACUAAAAAAAUAAGCAUCUUGACACGACCUUGUUUUUUUAUCUCGCAGCUAACUGGCAGUGCCAACUUUUUCUGCAUUUAUUUAAAUUUUGCUGUAGUUUAAAUAAUUUUUGCUGAGAUCCUGUUUCAGUCCUGUUCCAGAUCACGAUUCUGGUGAUGGCUCCUUGACACAGAACCCCGAUUAUUCCCGUUUUUCCCCCAAUCUCGGCUCCGGGCCGGAUUUCCCAGGGCGCAGCGCCACCGCCUGCCCGCAGCCCCGCGUUCAUGAGCCCGGGUUGUGCUCCUGCAGCCGCC